rnacentral:rRNA from 1 species
AACAGGAUUAGAUACCCUGGUAGUCCACGCCGUAAACGAUGUCGACUUGGAGGUUGUGCCCUUGAGGCGUGGCUUCCGGAGCUAACGCGUUAAGUCGACCGCCUGGGGAGUACGGCCGCAAGGUUAAAACUCAAAUGAAUUGACGGGGGCCCGCACAAGCGGUGGAGCAUGUGGUUUAAUUCGAUGCAACGCGAAGAACCUUACCUACUCUUGACAUCCAGAGAACUUUCCAGAGAUGGAUUGGUGCCUUCGGGAACUCUGAGACAGGUGCUGCAUGGCUGUCGUCAGCUCGUGUUGUGAAAUGUUGGGUUAAGUCCCGCAACGAGCGCAACCCUUAUCCUUUGUUGCCAGCGAUUCGGUCGGGAACUCAAAGGAGACUGCCAGUGAUAAACUGGAGGAAGGUGGGGAUGACGUCAAGUCAUCAUGGCCCUUACGAGUAGGGCUACACACGUGCUACAAUGGCAUAUACAAAGAGAAGCGACCUCGCGAGAGCAAGCGGACCUCAUAAAGUAUGUCGUAGUCCGGAUUGGAGUCUGCAACUCGACUCCAUGAAGUCGGAAUCGCUAGUAAUCGUGGAUCAGAAUGCCACGGUGAAUACGUUCCCGGGCCUUGUACACACCGCCCGUCACACCAUGGGAGUGGGUUGCAAAAGAAGUAGGUAGCUUAACCUUCGGGAGGGCGCUUACCACUUUGUGAUCCAUGACUGGGGUGAAGUCGUAACAAGGUAACC